rnacentral:rRNA from 1 species
GCCUACGGCCAUACCAGUCUGAAAGUGCCUGAUCUCGUCAGAUCUCAGAAGUCAUGCAGACUUUGGCUUGAUUAGUACUUGUAUGGGAGACCAACUAGGAACCUUAGGUGCCCUAGGCU